GAGUUUGAUCCUGGCUCAGGAUGAACGCUGGCGGCGUGCCUAACACAUGCAAGUCGAGCGAAAAGUUAAAGAAUGAUCCUUCGGGUGAAUGAUUUGAUGGACAGCGGCGGACGGGUGAGUAACGCGUGGAUAACCUGCCUUAUACUGGGGGAUAACGUUUUGAAAAGAACGCUAAUACCGCAUAAGCGCACAGCACCGCAUGGUGUAGUGUGAAAAACUCCGGUGGUAUAAGAUGGAUCCGCGUCAGAUUAGCUAGUUGGUGAGAUAAAAGCUCACCAAGGCGACGAUCUGUAGCCGACCUGAGAGGGUGAUCGGCCACAUUGGGACUGAGACACGGCCCAAACUCCUACGGGAGGCAGCAGUGGGGAAUAUUGCACAAUGGAGGAAACUCUGAUGCAGCGACGCCGCGUGAAGGAUGAAGGUUAUCGGAUCGUAAACUUCUAUCAGCAGGGAAGAUAGUGACUGUACCUGACUAAGAAGCCCCGGCUAACUACGUGCCAGCAGCCGCGGUAAUACGUAUGGGGCAAGCGUUAUCCGGA
rnacentral:rRNA from 1 species